AUACUUUGUUAUCUGAAGGUCAAGGCAUUACCAGGAAAGGACAAACCAUGGGUUCAUCAGCUCCCUGCCCUUGGCCAUAGUGACAUCCUCCAAAGGAAAGGAGAAGAAACUUGCAAGUAAAACCAAACCUUCAUGAGAAGCGUGCAAUGGCAGUUUAUGCAGGCAAAGAAGGUUUGAGUCAAAAUUUGGCAAGGCCUAGGGAACGGAAGAGUCCCGCUGCAUUUCUGUGCUUGCUCAAAUUUUCACAGAACUAUUUUCAAGACAGAGAGUUUGAAAGCUGGCUGCCAGUAUUCAAAUUUACAAAUAAGACUUUUGUUCAUAGUUCAUGAUUUACAUGGGAUGGAUCAUGUUUUCUAACACGGCACCAGUCAUAUGUGGUACAUCUGAAAACACAACCAGUUAUUUGACAGUUUCCUUUCUGCAUUUGUAAUGAAGCCAAUGCUGGCAGCAAGUCUUCAAUAGCUUUUCUUCCCCCAAAUAAUCACACACUUUCACAAAGUGAAUGGUGUUCCCGAGGCUAUUAGAAAAAUAAGGACAGGAAAUUUCUGUAUCUGGAUACGGCUGAUAUGCACUUCAGUCUGCUUUUACAGCUUCAAUUUAGAGCAGGG
rnacentral:lncRNA from 1 species